GCAAGUCGAGCGGACAGAUGGGAGCUUGCUCCCUGAUGUUAGCGGCGCCCGUGUGAGUAACACGUGGGUAACCUGCCUGUAAGACUGGGAUAACUCCGGGAAACCGGGGCUAAUACCGGAUGCUUGUUUGAACCGCAUGGUUCAGACAUAAAAGGUGGCUUCGGCUACCACUUACAGAUGGACCCGCGGCGCAUUAGCUAGUUGGUGAGGUAACGGCUCACCAAGGCGACGAUGCGUAGCCGACCUGAGAGGGUGAUCGGCCACACUGGGACUGAGACACGGCCCAGACUCCUACGGGAGGCAGCAGUAGGGAAUCUUCCGCAAUGGACGAAAGUCUGACGGAGCAACGCCGCGUGAGUGAUGAAGGUUUUCGGAUCGUAAAGCUCUGUUGUUAGGGAAGAACAAGUGCCGUUCAAAUAGGGCGGCACCUUGACGGUACCUAACCAGAAAGCCACGGCUAACUACGUGCCAGCAGCCGCGGUAAUACGUAGGUGGCAAGCGUUGUCCGGAAUUAUUGGGCGUAAAGGGCUCGCAGGCGGUUUCUUAAGUCUGAUGUGAAAGCCCCCGGCUCAACCGGGGAGGGUCAUUGGAAACUGGGGAACUUGAGUGCAGAAGAGGAGAGUGGAAUUCCACGUGUAGCGGUGAAAUGCGUACAGAUGUGCAGGAACACCAGUGGCGAAGGCGACUCUCUGGCCUGUAACUGACG
rnacentral:rRNA from 1 species